rnacentral:rRNA from 1 species
UACGAAGGGGGCUAGCGUUGCUCGGAAUUACUGGGCGUAAAGCGCACGUAGGCGGCUUCUAAGUCGGGGUGAAUCCUGGAGCUCAACUCCAGAACUGCCUUCGAUACUGGAAGCUCGAGUCCGGGAGAGGUGAGUGGAACUGCGAGUGUAGAGGUGAAAUUCGUAGAUAUUCGCAAGAACACCAGUGGCGAAGGCGGCUCACUGGCCCGGUACUGACGCUGAGGUGCGAAGCGUGGGAGCAACAGG